GAUGAACGCUGGCGGCGUGCCUAAUACAUGCAAGUCGAGCGAACAGACGAGGAGCUUGUUCUUCUGACGUUAGCGGCGGACGGGUGAGUAACACGUGGAUAACCUACCUAUAAGACUGGGAUAACUUCGGGAAACCGGAGCUAAUACCGGAUAAUAUCUUUAACCGCAUGGUUCAAUAGUGAAAGACGGUUUUGCUGUCACUUAUAGAUGGAUCCGCGCCGCAUUAGUUAGUUGGUAAGUUAACGGCUUACCAAGGCAACGAUGCGAAGCCGGACUGAGAGGCUAAUAGGCUACACUUGAACUGAGGCACGCUCCAGACUCCUAAGAGAAGAGCCAGUAGGGAAUCUUACAGUGUAGGCCGAAAGCAAACGUGAACACGCCGCGUGAAUGACGAAGUUUUUCGGAUAAUUAUACUCUGCUAUUAGAGAAGAAAGAGUGUGUAAAGAACUAAGCAUGUCUUAACGGUACCUAAUCAGAAAGCCACGGCUAACUACGUG
rnacentral:rRNA from 1 species